CAGGACCCGCGCGAGGCCUGGCUGGGAGGGGCCCGCGGACGAACAGCCUUAGGGGCGUCGUCGGAGGCGAGGCUUCGGCUUGGCACGCAGGGCGCAGGAACCCAAAGGCUGCCCGAGAAGGCUCGACGUGCAGGAAAAAAAGCAGCAUCCAUCCAUUCAGCUGUGGUGAAAUGAGUGGCUGCUUUAGUAAAUAGCCUGGUAACCAAGUAACCAUGAGUGACCUGCCUGUGAUAAAGCACUUGCAGAGGCUGCCCUGAGACUGUAUCAGAAAACCUCAGACCCCUCCCUCCCAAGAUGGGUGAGGUUCUGAGGUUUGGCAUUUACUACCCAGGCUCUAAGUUGCUUAAGGUCUCACUAAAUUGCUGAGUCUGGCCUCCAACUUGUGAUGCUCCUGCCUCAGCUUCCCAAACCACUGAAAUUACAGGCAUGUGCCACUGUACCUGGCUACAAGAAAUUUUAUGUCCAAUAAAACUAAGGACCUAUAAACUAUAAAACUUAUUCCCCAACAUUCAUUUUACACUGUGCAGAAAGAAAUUUCCAAUGCACAUUUCUUACUUUUUCAUAUUUCUUAUUUCAUGUUUUUCAUUUAAUAUUUUUAAAUUUCUUAGUUUUUUCAUAUUUCUUGUUUAAAGAGUUAUCACUUAUUUUAAAAAUAUGACUUUUAGGUCUUUAAUGUAUUUCAUUUCAUGUCUUGUAUAUACAUGCUGAAAAACUGAAAUGUUUCGAGUCCUUUAAAGUUUGAUUUAUCUUUGUAGUAUCUUCAAACUCAUUGAACUACUUGUAUAUUUGUAGUAAAUAGAUGUGUGCUUGUAUAUUUUUAAUAAGUUUCAAAUUGAAAACAAUUCAAUUUGACUUUUCAAAGUGUUGCUUUGUAUCUGAAGGCAAAGCAGUCUAAUAGAAAAUGGACAUACUGCAAUGUUGCUAGCAUCUCAGUAGAUGGCGCCUUUAUUAAAGUUGAAGAAUGGCUUUUGGAUAAAUGUAGAAACUGAGGGAGUGCAUGCAGAUGGGAUAAGAGGAAAGAAGGAUGAUAGGUGGAUCUUUAUUUUUUUAGUCAUCCACACUAAUAGUUAUAGAUCUUUAAAAUACACUAACAAAUGAUAAAGAGCCAAAAUAUGAUUUUAAAACCUGAACAUUACAUUUUUUUUAAAUAUUCUGCCCAAAUUCACUUGCUGUGUACUCUAGCAUACUACAAUGAAUCAAUGGAAGAAAUGUAAUAUAUUAAUCUUUCAAAAAUAUGUGACAUAAUUCCAAACUAUCACAUCAGCAUCCAUCCACCAAUAACAAAGUUAAAGGUUCAUAAUGAAUCUGGGCUUUUAUAAUCCUUGUAAAUGAUUUCUCAGUGACUCCUUCAUCCAUUUAAGCCCUGAAGCAUAUAAUGUAACUUUAUGCUGCAAAAAAGGGACAUGGAUAAAGUAAUUACUUUGUUUUUUAACUGUACUAAAAUGUACAUAACCUAAAAUUUCCCAUCUUAACCAUCUUUAAGUGUUUGGUUUGGUGGCAUUACGUACAUUUACAUUACUGUGCAAACCAUCUCCAGAAUUCUUCACCUUGCAAAACUCAAACUCUGUGCCCAUUAAAUACUAAUCCCCCACCCCUCCCUUCCCCCAUUGUUUGGCAACCACCACUCUACUCUCUAUUGAUUGUGAUAGGUACCUCAUACAAGUGAAUCAUACAUUAUGUGUCCUUUUGUAACUAGUUUAUUUCACUUAGCAUUAAUAUCCUCAAAGUUCAUCCAUAUUGUAACAUGUAUCCAUUUCUUACCUUUUUAAAGAUGAACAAAGUUCAUUUAUAUACAUACCACAGCUUGUGUAUCCAUUCAUCUAUAAAUGAAUAUAUGGGAUGCUUCUACCUUUUAGUUACUGUGAAUUAAUGUAGAUAUGAACAUGAAUGAACAAUGAAUCAAUGAAUCUCAAAGGAUCUUUGAGAUCCUUUGAGUUUUUGGGGGAAUAUACCUAGAAGUGAAAUUGCUGGAUCAUAAGGUAAUUCUAUUUUUUAGUUUUUGAGUAACUGCCAUACUGUUUUCCAUAGCAUUUGUACCAAGGUUCCAAUUUCUCCACAUCCUCACUAAUACUUGCUAUUUUUUGUUUGUUUAUUUUUGAUAGCAGCUAUUAUAGUUUUGAGACUUUUGUUUGCAUUUUCCUAAUGAGAGUGCUGUGUAACAACUUUUUUUGUGUGUGCUUUUUGGACAUUUAUAU